GUUAGAGUGUAGAGGAGGCAGGGUAGCCUAGUGGUUAGAGUGUAGAGGUGGCAGGGUAGCCUAGUGGUUAGAGUGUAGAGGGGGCAGGGUAGCCUAGUGGUUAGAGUGUAGAGGUGGCAGGGUAGCCUAGUGGUUAGAGUGUAGAGGAGGUAGGGUAGCCUAGUGGUUAGAGUGUAGAGGAGGCAGGGUAGCCUAGUGGUUAGAGUGUAGAGGUGGCAGGGUAGCCUAGUGGUUAGAGUGUAGAGGUGGCAGGGUAGCCUAGUGGUUAGAGUGUAGAGGAGGCAGGGUAGCCUAGUGGUUAGAGUGUAGAGGCGGCAGGGUAGCCUAGUGGUUAGAGUGUAGAGGUGGCAGGGUAGCCUAGUGGUUAGAGUGUAGAGGAGGCAGGGUAGCCUAGUGGUUAGAGUGUAGAGGUGGCAGGGUAGCCUAGUGGUUAGAGUGUAGAGGUGGCAGGGUAGCCUAGUGGUUAGAGUGUAGAGGAGGCAGGGUAGCCUAGUGGUUAGAGUGUAGAGGCGGCAGGGUAGCCUAGUGGUUAGAGUGUAGAGGAGGCAGGGUAGCCUAGUGGUUAGAGUGUAGAGGUGGCAGGGUAGCCUAGUGGUUAGAGUGUAGAGGAGGCAGGGUAGCCUAGUGGUUAGAGUGUAGAGGAGGCAGGGUAGCCUAGUGGUUAGAGUGUAGAGGUGGCAGGGUAGCCUAGUGGUUAGAGUGUAGAGGAGGCAGGGUAGCCUAGUGGUUAGAGUGUAGAGGUGGCAGGGUAGCCUAGUGGUUAGAGUGUAGAGGUGGCAGGGUAGCCUAGUGGUUAGAGUGUAGAGGUGGCAGGGUAGCCUAGUGGUUAGAGUGUAGAGGCGGCAGGGUAGCCUAGUGGUUAGAGUGUAGAGGUGGCAGGGUAGCCUAGUGGUUAGAGUGUAGAGGUGGCAGGGUAGCCUAGUGGUUAGAGUGUAGAGGCGGCAGGGUAGCCUAGUGGUUAGAGUGUAGAGGCGGCAGGGUAGCCUAGUGGUUAGAGUGUAGAGGCGGCAGGGUAGCCUAGUGGUUAGAGUGUAGAGGUGGCAGGGUAGCCUAGUGGUUAGAGUGUAGAGGUGGCAGGGUAGCCUAGUGGUUAGAGUGUAGAGGCGGCAGGGUAGCCUAGUGGUUAGAGUGUAGAGGCGGCAGGGUAGCCUAGUGGUUAGAGUGUAGAGGCGGCAGGGUAGCCUAGUGGUUAGAGUGUAGAGGCGGCAGGGUAGCCUAGUGGUUAGAGUGUAGAGGCGGCAGGGUAGCCUAGUGGUUAGAGUGUAGAGGCGGCAGGGUAGCCUAGUGGUUAGAGUGUA